UUAACCUACGGGAGGCAGCAGUGAGGAAUAUUGGUCAAUGGCCGAGAGGCUGAACCAGCCAAGUCGCGUGAGGGAUGACGGCCCUACGGGUUGUAAACCUCUUUUGUCGGGGAGCAAAAGCCGGACGUGUCCGUCUGUGAGAGUACCCGAAGAAAAAGCAUCGGCUAACUCCGUGCCAGCAGCCGCGGUAAUACGGAGGAUGCGAGCGUUAUCCGGCUUUAUUGGGUUUAAAGGGUGCGCAGGCGGAUUUUUAAGUCAGCGGUCAAAUCGUGGGGCUCAACCCCAUCCAGCCGUUGAAACUGGGG
rnacentral:rRNA from 1 species